CAGAUGAAAAGUACAGAAUAUCACAUUCGGUAUUUUAACUACCUUCUUUCCUGAAUAUUCAGUAUUUUGAAUUGCCAUAAUCUGCAGAGAGUCAGCUGAUCUCACCUCUCUAAUGGACAGUGAAAUAUACAGUCAGAUCCCAGUGAUGGAUGCUGGCUGUUAAACAGAGAACCCUGGAGAUAGUUGUAAAGAAAUGUCUUCUCAUCCUCUUCCACAAGACAGACUUUGAGGUGAUUACAUCUACUGCCAGUCAUGCCGUAAAUAAUGGGCAGUUUGUUGUGGAGUUCCAAAUGACCGAAGCACAGUGACCAUAAAGGCUGAUAGUACAAUGUUACAU